AGAAAUUUAGGUUACCUCAUUUAAACCAGAAGCCUUCAAAGCUCCAAACGGGAAACACAUCCCAAUUUCUG
rnacentral:tRNA from 1 species